rnacentral:rRNA from 1 species
UCAAUUUGAAAUCUGGCUCUUUCAUGGUCCGAGUUGUAAUUUGCAGAGGGCGCUUUGGCUUUGGCAGCGGUCCAAGUUCCUUGGAACAGGACGUCACAGAGGGUGAGAAUCCCGUACGUGGUCGCUAGCUAUUGCCGUGUAAAGCCCCUUCGACGAGUCGAGUUGUUUGGGAAUGCAGCUCUAAAUGGGAGGUAAAUUUCUUCUAAAGCUAAAUACUGGCCAGAGACCGAUAGCGCACAAGUAGAGUGAUCGAAAGAUGAAAAGCACUUUGGAAAGAGAGUCAAACAGCACGUGAAAUUGUUGAAAGGGAAGCGCUUGCAGCCAGACUUGCUUGCAGUUGCUCAUCCGGGCUUUUGCCCGGUGCACUCUUCUGCAGGCAGGCCAGCAUCAGUUUGGGCGGUGGGAUAAAGGUCUCUGUCACGUACCUCUCUUCGGGGAGGCCUUAUAGGGGAGACGACAUACCACCAGCCUGGACUGAGGUCCGCGCAUUCGCUAGGAUGCUGGCGUAAUGGCUGUAAGCGGCCCGUCUUGAAACACGGACCAAGGAGUCUAACAUCUAUGCGAGUGUUUGGGUGUCAAGCCCGAACGCGUAAUGAAAGUGAACGGAGGUGGGAACCCGCAAGGGUGCACCAUCGACCGAUCCUGAUGUCUUCGGAAGGAUUUGAGUAAGAGCAUGGCUGUUGGGACCCGAAAGAUGGUGAACUAUGCUUGAAUAGGGUGAAGCCAGAGGAAACUCUGGUGGAGGCUCGCAGCGGUUCUGACGUGCAAAUCGAUCGUCAAAUUUGGGCAUAGGGGCGAAAGACUAAUCGAACUAUCUAGUAGCUGGUUCCUGCCGAAGUU